rnacentral:rRNA from 1 species
CCUACGGGAGGCUGCAGUGAGGAAUAUUGGUCAAUGGACGAGAGUCUGAACCAGCCAAGUAGCGUGAAGGAUGACUGCCCUAUGGGUUGUAAACUUCUUUUAUAAAGGACUAAAACGAGGCACGUGUGCCUUUUUGUAUGUACUUUAUGAAUAAGGAUCGGCUAACUCCGUGCCAGCAGCCGCGUUAAUACGGAGGAUCCGAGCGUUAUCCGGAUUUAUUGGGUUUAAAGGGAGCGUAGAUGGGUUGUUAAGUCAGUUGUGAAAGUUUGCGGCUAAACCGUAAAAUUGCAAUUGAUACUGGCAGUCUUGAGUACAGUUGAGGUAGGCGGAAUUCGUGGUGUAGCGGUGAAAUGCUUAGAUAUCACGAAGAACCCCGAUUGCGAAGGCAGCUUACUAAACUGUGACUGACAUUGAUGCUCGAAAGUGUGGGUAUCAAACAGGAUUAGAUACCCGGGUAGUC